AGGAGAUUCCCAAAGGCAACUUCUCAAUGAAACUGAGGGAUAUAAAAACUGAAGACAGAGGGGAAUUCAUGUGCACAGUCCAUACAGAUAGAGAAUCAGUCAAUGCAACAGCCUGGCUACAAGAACAGGGUUUUUCCACCUUACAUUGGUGUGUCCUGGGUUUAACCAUGGCUGCUGCAGUUUUUGCAGUUUUAAGCUGCAUUCCUGCUGUUUGGUGGAUAAAAAAAGCACAAAAAGAAAAACGAGAAAAAGAAAAAAAAAAGAAAGUUGAAAGCAAAGGGACUGUGUUGCUAUUUUGCCUUCAAGUCUCCGUUCCCUGCAUCUUGUUAUCCAUCGCCUUCGCCAUAUGGGGUAAAAUUGAGAGCUCUGUUGGAGAGGCCUAUGUUUGCAGUACUCUAAAUCUUGUGAGGAUCCUAGUGAUAUUUAAGGUGGCUCCAUAUGUACUUCCUGG